GAAAUCCGAGGAAGCCGGGGUGCCUCAGUUUCUCCAUUCCACAAGUAGGGCCGCGGCCGACGGCCUCGCAGCUGGACUGACGCCGCCCCGGUCGGCCUGGCCAGCUCGGGCCAGCGAUGCACCGCCCCUGACUGCUGGGAGGAAGAGUUAAGAGCGCAGGCGCUGCGGACUGGACGUGUGGGUUCGAAUCCAGUGCCCACCACAUACCCCUGCGUGACCUUGGACUUGUUCUUCUCUUGGGCUCUUCCUCUCCGAGCCUCAGUUUCCCCAUCUUCCCAAACGAGCCUGGCAGAGUCUUGGGCAUGCAGAGCUGCGAUCAGAGGCAGUGAGGUGCUGCACGAGUAGGUGGUCAUACAUGGUGGCUGUCAUUAGAGAGCAGAGGAAAUCUUCCUCCAUCAGUUGCUCACUGCACACCUACUGUGUGCCAGGCACUGUGCUGGGGAGAGAGCAGUGAGCUCAGCAGACAAAAAGCCCUGUCCUUUCAGAACUGACAUUCUAAGGAGGGGUGGACAAGAGACAUAACACUUUCCUCGUCUCGAAAAUGGAGCUGGUGGUGAGGUUCUGAGGCUCUGUGGAUCUUUCCUCCCUCCCAAUUCCUGGCACAGCCAGCCCCAUCACGAGGUUGAGAGCGGUGACUCGGCGGAAAUGGAGGAGCGAGCAGCUAGCAACCAAAGGAGUGACAGUUCUGGACCACCUGACAGAACGCCACGGCGCUAUGACACCUACAGCAUUACAGAAUGCUCCACCUGGAGACAUGGGAUCCCAUCCACCUGGGCUUCAGACCAAGGGACACACUUUAUGGCAAGGGAGGAGCCGGGUGGGCGCACCAGCACGGUAUCUGCGGGUCUCACCCUGGAACAAUGGGUCUGAUGGAACGUUGGGGCGGCCACCUCGUGUGACACCCUGUGCACGGAACCCACAGCCGGUCGAUGGUGCUCUGUCCCCAGUAGCUAGGACGCACGGUCCAGGAACAGGUGUGGAAAUAGGAUUGCCCUCUCUCCAUCCUCACUCAGGGAUUUGUACUUCUCGUCCCUGCAACCUUAGACUUUGUCAGGAGGAGGAAAUUAGGACACAGACACAUAUGGAGGGAGGACCAUGUGAAGACGCAGCGGGAAGACGGCCAUCUACACGCCAAGGAGAGAGGCCUCAGGAGAAACCAACACAGCCGACACCUUGGUCUUAGACUUCCAGCCUCCAGAACUGGGAGAGAAUAAAUGUCUGUUGUUCAAGCCCCCGGGUCUGUGGUCCUUCGCUAUGGUAGCCCCGGGCAA